CCCAAGUAGCUGGGACCACAGGCGCGUGCCACCACCGUGCUCAGCUCCUUCCCAGUUUAACUGUGGUUAAAACUGGUGUGUGAAGGCAAUGAGAGAGACCCGCGAAAAAUGAGAAACAAGGGUUAGGGCUGACGUCUUUUGCGGACAAAGAAAAAGAAACCAAAGUUUCCUCAGAAAACUUAAGUUGCCUCACAGCCGCCUGGUAUCAGGAAACACUGAGCCCGCCCAACGCGGGAUCCUCCAGGGGCAGGCCGCCUGAGGCCCACCCGGAGCAGGCGGGGCGGCCGCAGGACCACGUGGCCCAGAGCGCCCUUCCAGCGCUGCCGGCGGCGGGGCGGGUGCCGGGCGCGCCUGCUGCGCGGGGCGGGACGCGGACUCCCAGGCUCUGCGGAGAGCGGCUGCCACUCGCCUCUGUUUUUUUCUUGAGACCUAGUCUGGCUCUGUGGCUCAGGCUGGAGUGCAGUGGCGUGAUCACCGCUCACUGCAGCCUCAGCCUCCUCUCGCCUCAGCCGCUCGGUAGCUGGGACCACCAGCGGGCGCCACCACUCCCGGCUACAUUUUUUUGUAUUUUUAGUAGAGACGUGGGUCUCGCCAUGUUGGCUAGGCUGCUGCCGAACUCCGGGGCUCAAGCGAUCCGCCCGCCUGGGCCUCCCAAAGUGCUGAGACUGCAGGCAUGAGCCACCGCGCCCGGCCGAGAGCCUCUUUUGGCUCCUCCUUUCGCCUUUCCGGGGCCAGGCGUGUGCAGCUCUGUGAAGGGUCCCCUCCCUCUGCGGGACGUCCUCGCUGCCGAGGUCAGAGGUGCGGAGAACAUGAGACCCGAGGUCUCAACUGCUUCUUACCAAUAUUAAUUCCAGUGACUACUAUCAGAAUAUGAUGAGCAAUCCACUCAUCAGAGAAGCUGUUUCUACACUCUCCUGAAUGACCAUUUUAUAGAUGCUGGGAAAAAAUUGUAUUAAAGACUAUGAGUUAGCUGGGCUUGGUGGCUCACGCCUGUAAUCCCAGCACUUUGUGAAGCCAAGGCGGGAGCAUCGAUUGAGCCUAGCAGUUCAAGACCAACCUUGGCGGCAUAAGCGAGACCCUGUCUCUACAAAAAUUUUAAAAUUAGCCAGGUGUGGUGGUGUGCACCUAUAAUCUUAGCUACUUGGGAAGCUGAGGUGGGAGGAUUACUCAGCCUAGGAGGUUGAGGUUACAGUGAGCUGGGAUCACACCACUGCCCUUCAGCCUGGGUGACAGAGCAGGACCCCGUCUCUUAAAAAAAAAAAAAAAAGUGGUGGACUUUGUUAUCCUUAUGCAUAUGACUCAUCAAUAUAUCUGUAUUUCCAUAUAGAAAGAACACUUAGACCGGGCACAGUGACUCACGCCUGUAAUCCCAGCACUUUGGGAGGCCAAGGCUGGCGGAUCACUUGAGGCCAGGAGUUCCAGACCAGCCUGGCUAACAUGGCAAAACCCUGUCUCUACUAAAAAA
rnacentral:lncRNA from 1 species